rnacentral:rRNA from 1 species
UCGAGGGGCAUCGGGAGGAAAGCUUGCUUUCCUUGCCGGCGACCGGCGCACGGGUGAGUAACACGUAUGCAACCUGCCCUCUUCAGGGGGACAACCUUCCGAAAGGGAGGCUAAUCCCGCGUAUAUCGGUUUCGGGCAUCCGAGAUCGAGGAAAGAUUCAUCGGAAGAGGAUGGGCAUGCGGCGCAUUAGCUAGACGGCGGGGUAACGGCCCACCGUGGCGACGAUGCGUAGGGGUUCUGAGAGGAAGGUCCCCCACACUGGUACUGAGACACGGACCAGACUCCUACGGGAGGCAGCAGUGAGGAAUAUUGGUCAAUGGGAGAGAUCCUGAACCAGCCAAGCCGCGUGAGGGAAGACGGCCCUAUGGGUUGUAAACCUCUUUUGUCGGAGAACAAAACCCGGGACGUGUCCCGGACUGCGUGUAUCCGAAGAAAAAGCAUCGGCUAACUCCGUGCCAGCAGCCGCGGUAAUACGGAGGAUGCGAGCGUUAUCCGGAUUUAUUGGGUUUAAAGGGUGCGUAGGCGGUCCGUUAAGUCAGCGGUAAAAUUGCGGGGCUCAACCCCGUCGAGCCGUUGAAACUGGCAGACUUGAGUUGGCGAGAAGUACGCGGAAUGCGCGGUGUAGCGGUGAAAUGCAUAGAUAUCGCGCAGAACUCCGAUUGCGAAGGCAGCGUACCGGCGCCAGACUGACGCUGAGGCACGAAAGCGUGGGGAUCGAACAGGAUUAGAUACCCUGGUAGUCCACGCAGUAAACGAUGAAUGCUGGUUGUCCGGGUCGAAUGAGAUCUGGGCGGCGAAGC